rnacentral:lncRNA from 1 species
AAGAAAGAGAAAAUUAGUUCUAGGUCUAUUCAAGCAAUUAAAGAAGCUGAUACUCAAUACUAUAUCAAAUCUAAUGAAUAUAGAUUCUAAGCAUAAUUUUUUAGAAAUUUGUCCAAAAAGACAGCAUAUGUUGCAACAAAUUUAUGUAUUUCUACCAUCCAAUAAAUUAGUANAAUUUAAGGAAGUUGGUUUACUGGCAAAAGAGAUUUGCAAGUCCAUAAAAUAUCAUCAACUUAUAUUAACAAGAACUUAUAAAACAAACAUUGAAUAAGGAAAAAAGGAGCUUACAAAGAUAUCAUGUUCUGAAGCUGACUAAGUUCUUCAGGGAUCAAGCCAG